AUGUUUCCUCUUGUACAUGUGAAUACCUUGCCUAGACCUAUCUCUGAUCAUUCGCCUUCAGUUGUUAAUUUGGCAUUAAAUAUCCCUAAAAUUGUAAAGCCUUUUAAGUUUCUUAGAGAGGAUCUAAGUGAGGUGGCCAGCAAAGUUUGGAAUGCAUUUCAUUUUGAUACAACUAAGUUAGAUAAGUGGCAGAAUAGAGCUAGAGUAGUGAGAAAAAAGUUGAAAGGAUGGAACAUUAACUAUGAAAGUUUUUAUAGAAAACAGAAGAAAAUUUUGGAAACUGCUAUUGAUGAUAUAGACAAAGAGAGUGAAAUUAUGCUUUAUCUGUAG
rnacentral:rRNA from 1 species